UACGGAGGUGGCAAGCGUUGCUCGGAAUCACUGGGCGUAAAGGGCGCGUAGGCGGGGAGGUAAGUCGGGUGUGAAAUCCCUCGGCCCAACCGAGGAACUGCGCCCGAGACUGCUUCUCUUGAGUCCCGGAGAGGAAGAUGGAAUUCCCGGUGUAGCGGUGAAAUGCGCAGAUAUCAGGAAGAACACCCGUGGCGAAGGCGGCUCUCUGGGACGGUACUGACGCUGAGACGCGAAAGCGUGGGGAGCGAACAGG
rnacentral:rRNA from 1 species